GGCUGGCUGGCCAAAUGGUAAGGCGUCGGACUCCUAUCAACAGCGUAAUCCGAAGAUUCUGGGUUCGAGUCCCAGGUUGGUCG
rnacentral:tRNA from 1 species